rnacentral:rRNA from 1 species
GACGAUCCCUAGCUGGUCUGAGAGGAUGACCAGCCACACUGGAACUGAGACACGGUCCAGACUCCUACGGGAGGCAGCAGUGGGGAAUAUUGCACAAUGGGCGCAAGCCUGAUGCAGCCAUGCCGCGUGUAUGAAGAAGGCCUUCGGGUUGCUUUCAGCGAGGAGGAAGGCGUUAAGGUUAUACCUUGCGAUUGCGUUACUCGCAGAAGAACCCGGCUAACUCCGUGCCAGCACGGAUCCAACGU